rnacentral:rRNA from 1 species
UACGGAGGGGGCUAGCGUUGUUCGGAAUUACUGGGCGUAAAGCGCACGUAGGCGGUUUUGUAAGUUAGAGGUGAAAGCCUGGGGCUCAACUCCGGAAUUGCCUUUAAGACUGCAUCGCUAGAAUUGUGGAGAGGUAAGUGGAAUUCCGAGUGUAGAGGUGAAAUUCGUAGAUAUUCGGAAGAAACACCAGUGGCGAAGGCGACUUACUGGACACAUAUUGACGCUGAGGUGCGAAAGCGUGGGGAGCAAACAGG